UUUUAGGGUUACUCCGUCGGUUGUAGCUCAUGCUUUAGGUAUAUCUCAGAUUACCCAUCCGACUUAUCCCUAUAUUUUACCUACUUCUAUUCUGGCCGAUGCUCUUGUUCGGUCGACACUUUUGAACACCCCGUCUAUCGGGGGGCCUUCGGCGAUGGCCACGGGGUCAUUACCUACUAAUCGUCAGGUGUUGUUGCGCAUAGUGUGUACAAACCUGUGGCCGGUUGCCCAUACCUCUUCAUUACCUAUGGUGCAUGCCCGUUUUCUUUAUGCCCUUCUUCACGAGGACUCGAUCGACUUUCCUAGUUUUGUGUGCCAGAAUAUUCUGACUUCAUUUCGUAUUCCUGGGAGUCGGAUCGGGUUGCCUUAUGCUUGCUUGAUUCAUAGGGUUGCUUUGUCGUUGGGUGCUUCCUUUCCAGAGGGUUCGACUUGUCACAUAGGACGUCCGAUAGGACAGCAGACCAUUCAUCAGAGUCGAUCCCAUGUACCGCCAUCUUCCUCUUCUGCUCAUGCUACAGGUCAAACAGCGGCCGUUGAUGUUUUUGAUCUUUCAGAGCCCUUUGAUCCUAUUACUGAGAUUCUUACUGGGGGUUCCCGUGUGUUUCUCCUGCCUCGUACAGAUUUUCCUUCGGCCAUUCCACUUAGUUCUGCCUUUCCUUCGACAUCUACUUCUGCUCCUGGGGUGGCUGCUUUGCCCGUUGACCCCAUGGUGACGCUUAUGGUACGGAUGUCUACUUUGGUCGAGUAGCAGGCUCGUAUAAUGGCAGAGAUCACGUAGUUACGUGCUGCGUCGGAGCGUCAGUCAGCUGAGCUUUCUUCUUUUCACCGUGCUCUUGCAGUGUGUCAGCGUCAUUUGCGUUGGAUUCGUGAUAGUAUGGAGGAAGACACGAGUGCUGAGAGCGGAGCUGAGUCUUCAGAUGCUGGAGGUGCGGCCUCGUAGUUAGUUAGUUAAUUGUUUUGAUCCUUUGUCCUUUGUGACAAAAAGGGGGAGUAGAUAUUUGGAUAGAUGAUUGGAUAGAUAGAUAUCGAUAUUUAGAUAGAUAGAUAUAAAUUUUUUG
rnacentral:lncRNA from 1 species